CCCUCGCCUCCUCCCCUCUUCGCGGCCGCCGCCUCCGCCGCCGCCGCCUCCUCCUCGCGCCGCUCUCCGGCUGCCCUCCCGCCGCUCCCACCUCCUCUCCUCCCUCCUCUCUCUCCGGCGGCCUCCCUCGAUUGCUGGAGAGAAAACCAGCCCCCCACUCCAGCCCCUAGCCAGCGCCUCGCCGCGGCCCAGCCCGGACGUAAAGGGCAGCGAUCCGGCCCCAAAUUACCCAGCGCGAACGGGCGCGCGCGGCGACUCCUGGCUCGGGGCUCGGCUGCGCCGCGGGGCAGAGGAUUAGAGUCGCAAUUAGCUCCGCGCGCCCGCGCCUGGCGACAAAAACGCGCCGUUUCCCCUCCUUUCGCCGGGCGAUCCCCACCCGCCUCUCCCGAAGCCCGCGCCUUCCCGCCGGGGCCGCGGCCAGGACCCUCCCGGGAGCGGUGCGCCCAGGCCCCAGCGCCCUCCGCGGCCCAGCCCCCCGCCCCCCGCCGGCCGGCCACGCGGCGCCCGGGCCUCCUCCGGGCUCGGGGAGGGGGCGGGGGAGAGGCUGAUUUUAAUCAUUGUCAUUUCAUCUGAUGUAAUAUUUCCCCGGGCGCUUUCAGCUGGGCAUAAAUUUUCGGCUCCCAAAUAAGUAACACAGGGCACGUUUCUCACAUUUCUUGACUCCUCGGUUACAAAGAGGAGAGCAGCCGCCGCCGCGGCGCCCGGGGCUGGGGGCGGGACUUGGGAAGAAACUGGGCUGCCAGUCGGUCGGGGCUGGAGCGGAGCCGGGGGCCAGGCCGCCCCUCCCCCGCUCCCUGGCCGCCCUCCCAGGGUCUCUGCCCCGCUGCCCCUCUCCCGUGACGUCUGCGGACACGCGGUCGGCCGCCGCGGGGGAGGGACGCGCUGGGGCACCGGGCCGACCGCUCGCGGCUAGACGCGCCAUUUCCUUUACGCGCGCGGCGCGAUGGAGACGGCGGCAGCCAAGACUCCCCGCGGCCGAGGCCAUGAGAUUGGUUUUAAUAUGACACUUCAAAAGUAUUCAUGGAACUACAGAGCUACUAAGUGUCAUUGUUUAAGAGACAAAUCUCACCAUGGUACUGGUGACCCUGAAAAUAGGAUAUUCUACUUUAUUUUAAAUUCCUACGUGUUUUUUUAAGAGUUUCACUUUAUACCAAUUAUAAUAAAAAUGUACAAUUUAGUGGAAACAAGAA
rnacentral:lncRNA from 10 species